rnacentral:rRNA from 1 species
UACGUAGGGGGCAAGCGUUGUCCGGAAUAAUUGGGCGUGAAGGGCGCGCAGGCGGUAAUAUAAGUCAGCUUUGAAAUACUGGAGCUCAACUUCAGAACUGGAGCUGAAACUGUAAUACUUGAGAGCAGGAGAGGGGAGUGGAAUUCCGGGUGUAGCGGUGGAAUGCGUAGAGAUCCGGAGGAACACCAGUGGCGAAGGCGACUCCCUGGCCUGGGACUGACGCUGAGGCGCGAAAGCGUGGGUAGCAAACAGG